rnacentral:lncRNA from 1 species
CUGAGUCACAGUCUUCGUUUGUUUAAUUCAGAGGCAAUGAGCACCCCGAGCUGCCCUAACCCUGGGAAGCAGGCAGUCCCAGCUGGCCCCCAGCCAGCUGUCCUCCAUGGGAAGUGGCCCAGCCCACCCCGCAGCACUCCUGCAUCCCAGGAGUUUCUGGGCAUCUCCGUAAAGAUUCAACGACCAUGCAGUUUCAGGAGAUCCACUAGCAGAAUUCACUGUGCAUUUAAGAGGAACUGAGCCAGCUGAUUGCUCGAGAGGCCCUGAGGAGCGUGGCCCUCCGUCUCCACUUGAAUGGAAAAGGCUGCAGCAAAACGGCAGCAGAGGGUCCUUGGAUGUCACCAUGCUGCCCUCAGAGCAGAAGCAACAUUGGCUCUCCCCGGAUGGCGGAAUUCUCGGGACCACCCCAGAAGACCAGGAAUGAGCUCAGAAAACCAAGCCAGCAGAUGAGACUGAACACUGGAGUGGAGUUCGUGGGAGGCUCCGGUGUGGGCGCCAAAGCAGAGUUUACUGAAAGCCCUCGCAGCCAGGGAACGCUCUCUCACUGUUUACUCUGAAGGACUUGCAGAGAAACCUUGAGGAUUACUCAGCAGUGUCUAUCGUCUGCUGUCCACGAUGAUGGCGAUGCCAGAGUUACUAUUUGCAGAUCCCAGCUAAUAACAUCAGUGAGAAUCGCACAGCGCCUGUGAAUCAGAAGGAAGAGGUGAUAACAGCGUCUUUAUGACAUGCAGUCACGCGAUAAGAUGCAGACGUAAUGAGAACUCUUUUUCUUCUGGAAAAGAUUAAAGACAUAAAAUCCUGGCUUGGGAAAAAAAGGCUCUUUGUCCUGCUGUAACAAAG